UUUCCGUAGGUGAACCUGCGGAAGGAUCAUUAUUGAAUAAACCUGAUGUGGUUGUAGCUGGCCCUUUCGGGAGCAUGUGCACACCCGUCGUUUUUAUCUUUCCACCUGUGCACCUUUUGUAUACCUGGAUGUAACACUUUCCGAGGCAACUCGGUCGGGAGGAAUGCUGUCAGCUUUCCUUGAAUGUCCAGGCCUAUGUUUUCAUAUACCCCAAAGAAUGUAACAGAAUGUAUUAUUGGGCCUUGUGCCUAUAAACUAUAUACAACUUUCAGCAACGGAUCUCUUGGCUCUC
rnacentral:misc_RNA from 1 species